ensembl:snoRNA
UGGAUCAGUGAUUACCGCUGAUGGUGUUUGUGUCAUAUACGAUGAAUACGUGUCUGGAACUCUGAGGUCCAA